rnacentral:sRNA from 1 species
GUCGUGAGAUGUUGGGUUAAGUCCCGCAACGAGCGCAACCCUUGUCCCUAGUUGCUACGCAAGGGCACUCUAGGGAGACUGCCGGUGACAAACCGGAGGAAGGUGGGGAUGACGUCAAGUCCUCAUGGCCCUUAUGGGUAGGGCUUCACACGUCAUACAAUGGCCGGUACAGAGGGUUGCCAACCCGCGAGGGGGAGCCAAUCCCUAUAAAGCCGGUCGUAGUCCGGAUUGCAGUCUGCAACUCGACUGCAUGAAGUCGGAAUCGCUAGUAAUCGCGGAUCAGCAUGUCGCGGUGAAUACGUUCCCGGGUCUUGUACACACCGCCCGUCACACCAUGGGAGCGGGAUGUACCAGAAGUAGGUAGGCUAACCGCAAGGGGGCCGCUUACCACGGUGCGUUUCGUGACUGGGGUGAAGUCGUAACAAGGUAGCCGUAUCGGAAGGUGCGGCUGGAUCACCUCCUUUCUCGGAAACAGGGAUCAGGAAUCAGGGAUCAGGGAUCAAACCCGGAUCGCUGCCCUGCCAUCCCCAUGCCCAAGCUGCGAGUACCCACAACCUAUCGGUUGCACGACACUGUGCAGCACGACAUGACACCGGGCCUGUAGCUCAGUUGGUUAGAGCACCGUCUUGAUAAGGCGGGGGUCGAUGGUUCGAAUCCAUCCAGACCCACCACCGGAUCCACCGGGGCUGUAGCUCAAUUGGGAGAGCGCCUGCUUUGCAAGCAGGAGGUCGUCGGUUCGAUCCCGUCCAGCUCCACCAGUCAGGUGUCAGUAGUCAGUUGGCAGUUGACAGUAAAAACGAGACGGUCGGUAGCGUGGCGGUUUUACUGCCAACUGACUACUGUCAACUGACUCCUGAAACCUAUCGGUUGCAUGUCAGCACUCAGCAGUGCGCUUUCGAACGAAGUGAGAGCGCAGUGUUGAGAGCUGCAGUGUUCUUUAACAAUUAGGAAGGUAAGGGUUCAUCUGACUUGAUGAGAGUUGGAUGAGCAAUAGGGUUGAGUUGUAUCUUCAAAAGCCGGUCACCUUUUAAAAAGGGGGGUGAGCGGUGGCGCGAGCACAACGUAACGGUGGGUCCGAUGAGGGCUUACAGUUAUGGGGUCAAGCGACUAAGUGCAUGUGGUGGAUGCCUUGGCGAUUACAGGCGAUGAAGGACGUGGCAGCCUGCGAAAAGCUGCGGGGAGCUGGCAAACGAGCAUUGAUCCGCAGAUGU